ensembl:snoRNA snoRNA:Psi28S-3305a snoRNA:Psi28S-3305a
UCACAGUACUGACAAAUUAACUGGUUUGAAACCAUCACCAGGGUAGUUUUUUUUUAAACGCUGUGAGAUGAAUUAAAGCGUCGGCUAAGCUAUGUUAUGCGAAUGUAAGCAUUGCGCCUAUUCAGUGUAACACGCAGCCUCGUUACAAUA